CUGGUUUUGAAAUGUUGAUGACCGGUGUGGAAACACAGCCUUUCCUUCGGGACACCAUCACAGGUGGUGCAUGGGUGUCGUCAGCUCGUGUCAUGAGAUGUUGGGUUAAGUCCCGCAACCAGCGCAACCCCUGUCCUAUGUUGCCAGCAUUUAUUUGGGGACUCAUGGGAUACUGCCGGAGACAAACCUGAGGAAGGAGGGGACAACGUCUAUUCAUCAUGCCCCUUAUGUCCAGGGCUGCACACCUGCUACAUUGGCCCGCACAGAGGGAAGCAAUGCCUGGAGGCGGAGCAAAUCCCACAAAGCGCGUCUCGCUUCCUAUUGGAGGCUGCAAUUCGCCUCCAUGAAGUUAGAUUUGCUAUUAAUCCCGGAUCAACAACACCGCGGUGAAUACUCUUCCCGGGACUUGUACACACCUCCCGUCACACCACGAAAACGACGCAACACCCACAAGCCGGUGAGCUAACCCUUUUGGAAGGCAGCCUUCCAACGUGGGGCUCGUGAUUGGGGUG
rnacentral:rRNA from 1 species